rnacentral:rRNA from 1 species
GAGCAAGACCGCGUGAGGGAGGAAGGCUCUUGGGUUGUAAACCUCUUUUCUCAGGGAAUAAGUUCUGAAGGUACCUGAGGAAUAAGCAUCGGCUAACUCCGUGCCAGCAGCCGCGGUAAUACGGAGGAUGCAAGCGUUAUCCGGAAUCAUUGGGCGUAAAGCGUCCGCAGGUGGAGUGGUAAGUCUGUUGUCAAAGAACGGGGCUUAACCCCGUAAAGGCGAUGGAAACUGCCACACUAGAGGCUGGUAGGGGUAGAGGGAAUUCCCAGUGUAGCGGUGAAAUGCGUAGAGAUUGGGAAGAACACCAGUGGCGAAAGCGCUCUACUGGACCAGAACUGACACUCAGGGACGAAAGCUAGGGGAGCGAAAGGGAUUAGAUACCCCUGUAGUCCUAGCCGUAAACGAUGGAUACUAGGCGUAGCUCGUAUCGACCCGAGCUGUGCCGAAGCUAACGCGUUAAGUAUCCCGCCUGGGGAGUACGCACGCAAGUGUGAAACUCAAAGGAAUUGACGGGGGCCCGCACAAGCGGUGGAGUAUGUGGUUUAAUUCGAUGCAACGCGAAGAACCUUACCAGGGCUUGACAUCUGGCGAAUCUCAAUGAAAGUUGGGAGUGCCUUAGGGAACGCCAAGACAGGUGGUGCAUGGCUGUCGUCAGCUCGUGUCGUGAGAUGUUGGGUUAAGUCCCGCAACGAGCGCAACCCUCGUCCUUAGUUGCCAGCAUUAAGUUGGGAACUCUAGGGAGACUGCCGGUGACAAACCGGAGGAAGGUGGGGAUGACGUCAAGUCAGCAUGCCCCUUACGCCCUGGGCUACACACGUACUACAAUGGUCGGGACAACGGGCAGCAAGCAGGCGACUGUAAGCGAAUCUCAUCAAACCCGGCCUCAGUUCAGAUUGCAGGCUGCAACUCGCCUGCAUGAAGGAGGAAUCGCUAGUAAUCGCAGGUCAGAAUACUGCGGUGAAUCCGUUCCCGGGCCUUGUACACACCGCCCGUCACACCAUGGGAGCUGGCCACGCCCGAAGUCGUUACUCCAACCUGCAAAGGAGGAGGAUGCCGAAGGCAGGGCUAGUGACUGGGGUGAAGUCGUAACAAGGUAGCCGUACCGGAAGGUG